rnacentral:rRNA from 1 species
AAGUGGGGAUGACGUCAAAUCAUCAUGCCCCUUAUGGCCUGGGCUACAAACGUAAUACAAUGGCGUAUACAAAGGGAUGCGAAAGGGCGACCUGGAGCAAAACUCACAAAGUACGUCUCAGUUCAGAUUGGAGUCUGCAACUCGACUCCAUGAAGGCGGAAUCGCUAGUAAUCGCGGAUCAGCAUGCCGCGGUGAAUACGUUCUCGGGUUU